CCUACGGGUGGCAGCAGUCGGGAAUAUUGCGCAAUGGAGGAAACUCUGACGCAGUGACGCCGCGUGCAGGAAGAAGGUUUUCGGAUUGUAAACUGCUUUAGACAGGGAAGAAAAAAGACAGUACCUGUAGAAUAAGCUCCGGCUAACCACGUGCCAGCAGCCGCGGCAAUACGUAGGGAGCAAGCGUUGUCCGGAAUUACUGGGUGUAAAGGGAGCGUAGGGGGGACUGCAAGUUGGGUGGCAAAUCUACCGGUGCAACCGGUAGCCGCACUCAAAACUGCAGUUCUUGAGUGAAGUAGAGGCAGGCGGAAUUCCUAGUGUAGCGGUGAAAUGCGUAGAGAUUAGGAGGAACACCAGUGGCGAAGGCGGCCUGCUGGGCUUUUACUGACGCUGAGGCUCGAAAGUGUGGGGAGCAAACAGGAUUAGAUACCCCAGUAGUC
rnacentral:rRNA from 1 species